GACGAACGCUGGCGGCGUGCUUAACACAUGCAAGUCGAACGGAAAGGCCCUGCUUUUGUGGGGUGCUCGAGUGGCGAUCGGGUGAGACACUCGUGAGCAACCUGCCCUUGACUUUGGGAUAACUUCAGCAAACUCGGCCUACUACCGGAUAGGUGCUCCUGCUGCAUGGUGGGGGUUGGAAAGUUUCGGCGGUUGGGGAUGGACUCGCGGCAUAUCAGCUUGUUGGUGGGGUAGUGGCUUACCAAGGCUCUGACGGGUAGCCGGCCUGAGAGGGUGACCGGCCAAGUUGGGUCGGAGAUACGACACGGACUCCUACGGGAGGCAGCGGUGGGGAAUGGAACACAGGGGGCGGAGGCCUGAUGCGGCAACGCCGCGUGGGGGAUGACGUGCUGCGGGUUGGAAACCAAUUUCGCCUGUGACGAAGCGUGAGUGACGGUAAUGGGUAAAGAAGCACCGGCUAACUACGUG
rnacentral:rRNA from 1 species